rnacentral:rRNA from 1 species
AUGCGGAGGAGGAAACACCGCUCCACCUCUGGGCGCAUCGUCGGUAACCUGUCGCGAGGUCGUGCAAGUCCAGCUCUGGGAAAGCACGCAGGGAAUCACGAUCUUCAAGACGACGCCCUUAGGAGGGGAAGCGACGUAUCACGCCAUCGUGUGGUCCUGCACCGCAGGUCCUGGGCUUUCACCCGAAGAAAGUGA